rnacentral:tRNA from 1 species
GCCUCCAUCGUCUAGCGGCCCAGGACGUGGCCCUCUCAAGGCCAAAACGAGGAUUCGAAUUCCUCUGGAGGCGCCU